rnacentral:rRNA from 1 species
UACGAAGGGGGCUAGCGUUGCUCGGAAUCACUGGGCGUAAAGGGUGCGUAGGCGGGUCUUUUAAGUCAGGGGUGAAAUCCUGGAGCUCAACUCCAGAACUGCCUUUGAUACUGAAGAUCUUGAGUUCGGGAGAGGUGAGUGGAACUGCGAGUGUAGAGGUGAAAUUCGUAGAUAUUCGCAAGAACACCAGUGGCGAAGGCGGCUCACUGGCCCGAUACUGACGCUGAGGC